CCUACGGGGGGCAGCAGUGGGGAAUAUUGGACAAUGGGGGGAACCCUGAUCCAGCGACGCCGCGUGAGUGAAGAAGUAUUUCGAUAUGUAAAGCUCUAUCAGCAGGGAAGAAAGAAAUGACGGUACCUGACUAAGAAGCCCCGGCUAACUACGUGCCAGCAGCCGCGGUAAUACGUAGGGGGCAAGCGUUAUCCGGAUUUACUGGGUGUAAAGGGAGCGUAGACGGCAAUGCAAGCCUGGAGUGAAAGGCG
rnacentral:rRNA from 1 species